GGAGGAUUAGCUCAGCGGGAGAGCGCCUGCCUUACAAGCAGGAUGUCACAAGUUCAAUCCUUGUAUCCUCCA
rnacentral:tRNA from 2 species